AUUGAACGCUGGCGGCAGGCCUAACACAUGCAAGUCGAGCGAGCGGCGGACGGGUGAGUAAUGUAUGGGGACUGCCCGAUAGAGGGGGAUAACUACUGGAACCGGUGGCUAAUCCCGCAUACUAUCGGAUACCCCCUAUGGGAUUAGCUAGUAGGUGGGGUAAAGGCUCACCAAGGCGACGAUCUCUAGCGGGACUGGGAGGAUGAUCAGCCAAGCCGGGUCUAGCACACGGCACAGACUCCGACGGAGGCAGUAGUGGGGAAUAUUCCACAAGGGGCGCAAGCCUGAUGCAGCAAUGCCGCGUGUAUGAAGAAGGCCUUAGGGUUGUAAAGUACUUUCAGCGGGGAGGCGUAAACCGCAGAAGAGACGCCGGCUAACACCGUGCCAGCAGCCGCGGUAAUUC
rnacentral:rRNA from 1 species